rnacentral:rRNA from 1 species
UACGUAGGGUCCGAGCGUUGUCCGGAAUUACUGGGCGUAAAGAGCUCGUAGGUGGUUUGUCGCGUUGUUCGUGAAAACUCACAGCUCAACUGUGGGCGUGCGGGCGAUACGGGCAGACUAGAGUACUGCAGGGGAGACUGGAAUUCCUGGUGUAGCGGUGGAAUGCGCAGAUAUCAGGAGGAACACCGAUGGCGAAGGCAGAUCUCUGGGCCGGUACUGACGCUGAGACGCGAAAGCGUGGGGAGCGAACAGG